ACUCCUACGGGAGGCAGCAGUGGGGAAUAUUGCACAAUGGGGAAACCCUGAUGCAGCCAUGCCGCGUGUGUGAAGAAGGCCUUCGGUUGUAAAGCACUUUCAGUAGGGAGGAAGGUAGUGUAGUUAACACCUGCAUUAUUUGACGUUACCUACAGAAGAAGCACCGGCUAACUCCGUGCCAGCAGCCGCGGUAAUACGGAGGGGUGCGAGCGUUAAUCGGAAUUACUGGGCGUAAAGCGCAUGCAGGUGGUUUUGUUAAGUCAGAUGUGAAAGCCCGGGGGCUCAACCUCGGAAUUGCAUUUGAAACUGGCAGACUAGAGUACUGUAGAGGGGGUAGAAUUUCAGGUGUAGCGGUGAAAUGCGUAGAGAUCUGAAGGAAUACCGGUGGCGAAGGCGGCCCCCUGGACAGAUACUGACACUCAGAUGCGAAAGCGUGGGGAGCAAACAGGAUUAGAUACCCUGGUAGCACAGAGAG
rnacentral:rRNA from 1 species